UUAAUACGAAGAACACGAUUGAAGGGCCUCAUUUAAUGACGAAAUCUUUGAAUAAAAAAGAAUGUGUUUUAGCUCUUCCAAAUUCAGGUAACAGUUCGUUCAAAAAUAUCAUAACGGACCAUCUUUUCUCAUUGAGCAUUCAACUUUGACAUCAGAGCUAAAAGGUAAUAGUAAAGCAAGUUUGGCAGCCUCAUAAGGUAGCUUGUAACAGAUUCAUCCAUUUGUUCAGCUCAAAAAAAUUGCAUAUAGACAUCAAACAUUGAUCAACUUGUUCUUUUCCAGACUAUAGAUAGUCUAAAAACUCUAGGUGCUCUUUCACAGAAUCACAAUAAUCUAACAAAACCACAGCACCACUUUCAAUAAAAUUCUUAAUUUGAAGAUAAAGUCGAGCAUCAUCAUGAAGGGAAGCCUUUUCUUAUCAUCUUCUAUCAUCGAUAUCUGUACUAAGUAGAAUUGAAUUGUGUAAUGGCAAUCAUAGUAGUUAGAUCCAUUUAACUUGUGUUCAGUUACGUUUGAUGCUAGAGAGAUUACAUUAGAUAUAACCAUAUAUUUCACUUCUUCCAUUACAAGCUAACCAACAACCUGUAGAUCACAUAAGUGAAAAGAGCAAAUAAAAAAUGAAAUCAAGGAUGAACAAAAGAGCAGGACAACUCCAAAUCGAAACAGAAACAACAAACCCUAAGCACAAAAGGGUAUUUUCGAGUAACUUCACACCCUGAGUAGAUUUCAGUGAUACGAAAUGCACUAACUAGUUGGAAAACACAAACCGAGACAAACCCAACCCACAGAAAAUAAAACAGAGGUCCCCCAUGUCAGUGCAUGGAGACAGAAUAAUUUCCUUCUGGCGGUGUGUGAACCUCACGCGCAACUGUUUUCGGCAAAUGACGAACCCAGACUGAGGUGGACAACGACAGUGCUCCUUCUAAUGUGGGUGGUGUAGACACAUGGCCUCUCAAACUUGACGACCUAAACUUAAACCCUUACCCUAACCUUGUGUGAAGGAAGCUGAGAC
rnacentral:lncRNA from 1 species